rnacentral:rRNA from 1 species
CCUACGGGUGGCUGCAGUGGGGAAUAUUGCACAAUGGGCGCAAGCCUGAUGCAGCCAUGCCGCGUGUGUGAAGAAGGCCUUCGGGUUGUAAAGCACUUUCAGCGGGGAGGAAGGCGGUGAGGUUAAUAACCUCAUCGAUUGACGUUACCCGCAGAAGAAGCACCGGCUAACUCCGUGCCAGCAGCCGCGGUAAUACGGAGGGUGCAAGCGUUAAUCGGAAUUACUGGGCGUAAAGCGCACGCAGGCGGUCUGUCAAGUCGGAUGUGAAAUCCCCGGGCUCAACCUGGGAACUGCAUUCGAAACUGGCAGGCUAGAGUCUUGUAGAGGGGGGUAGAAUUCCAGGUGUAGCGGUGAAAUGCGUAGAGAUCUGGAGGAAUACCGGUGGCGAAGGCGGCCCCCUGGACAAAGACUGACGCUCAGAUGCGAAAGCGUGGGGAGCAAACAGGAUUAGAUACCCCAGUAGUC